rnacentral:rRNA from 1 species
AGUGAACGCUGGCGGUAGGCCUAACACAUGCGAGUCGAACGGCAGCACAGUAAGAGCUUGCUCUUACGGGUGGCGAGUGGCGGACGGGUGAGGAAUACAUCGGAAUCUACUUUUUCGUGGGGGAUAACGUAGGGAAACUUACGCUAAUACCGCAUACGACCUACGGGUGAAAGCAGGGGAUCUUCGGACCUUGCGCGAUUGAAUGAGCCGAUGUCGGAUUAGCUAGUUGGCGGGGUAAAGGCCCACCAAGGCGACGAUCCGUAGCUGGUCUGAGAGGAUGAUCAGCCACACUGGAACUGAGACACGGUCCAGGCUCCUACGGGAGGCAGCAGUGGGGAAUAUUGGACAAUGGGCGCAAGCCUGAUCCAGCCAUACCGCGUGGGUGAAGAAGGCCUUCGGGUUGUAAAGCCCUUUUGUUGGGAAAGAAAAGCAGCAGGUUAAUACCCCGCUGUUCUGACGGUACCCAAAGAAUAAGCACCGGCUAACUUCGUG